rnacentral:rRNA from 1 species
GGGCUCACACAAGCGGUGGAAGAUGUGGCUUAAUUCGAGGCUACGCGAAGAACCUUAUCCUAGGCUUGACAUGCGGGAUGCCUUCCCUGAAAGGGGGGCUGGCUGCCUUCGGGUGAAACCAGCACAGGUGCUGCAUGGCUGUCGUCAGCUCGUGUCGUGAGAUGUCGGGUUAAGUCCCUUAACGAGCGAAACCCCUGUCACUAGUUGCCAGCACGUCAUGGUGGGGACUCUAGUGAGACUGCCGAUGUUAAAGAGGAGGAAGGUGGGGAUGACGUCAAGUCCUCAUGGCCCUUAUGCCUAGGGCUGCACACGUCUUACAAUGCAAUGCACAAAGGGAUGCUAAAUCGUGAGAGCAAGCCAAAUCCCAAAAAACAUUGCCCAGUUCGGAUUGAAGUCUGCAAUUCGACUUCAUGAAGUCGGAAUCGCUAGUAAUCGCAGGUCAGAAUACUG